GUGAGGAAUUUUCCGCAAUGGGCGAAAGCCUGACGGAGCAAUGCCGCGUGAAGGAUGAAGGCCUAUGGGUUGUAAACUUCUUUUCUCAGAAAAGAAUUAUGACGGUAUCUGAGGAAUAAGCAUCGGCUAACUCUGUGCCAGCAGCCGCGGUAAGACAGAGGAUGCAAGCGUUAUCCGGAAUGAUUGGGCAUAAAGCGUCUGUAGGUUGUUUAAAAAGUAUUCUGUCAAAGAUUAGGGCUUAACCCUAGAUAGGCAGAAUAAACUUUUAAGCUAGAGUUUGGUAGAGGCAGAGGGAAUUCCCGGUGGAGCGGUGAAAUGCGUAGAUAUCGGGAGGAACACCAAAGGCGAAGGCACUCUGCUGGGCCAAUACUAACACUGAGAGACGAAAGCGAGGGGAGCAAAUGGGAUUAGAUACCCGAGUAGUCC
rnacentral:rRNA from 1 species